UUGCAGCCAAUUAAGCUGACCAAGUUCCUUUCCCCAUGAGGGCCUGGUGUACAGUGAUUGCAAACUGCAGGCUUCUUGACAGUGUGUGCAGCCUGCUGCCUGUAUGGAUUGUCCUAAGGGACCUUGAAGAUAACC
ensembl:snoRNA SNORA70 Small nucleolar RNA SNORA70